CUGUCUCCCUCUGUCGCUUUGACCCUGCGUGUUUUGAUGAGCAUGGAGUGGAGAUGUAUGAGUGUGUGACAGAGAGAUUUGAGAGGGAGAGCUCCAUUUGUUGUGUAAAUGCAUCACUCCAUUAAUUGACUGCUCUGCUCCCUGCCUCUCCUUCAGCGGCUGAACCCUGCCCUCCGUGGGGUCCCAGAGAUCCUGCCCCUGUUGUGUGUGGGUGGGGGCUCUUCACUCACUCACUCACUGAUGGCAACUUGCCAGGGGAAAGAUGGGCACCACUCACUGCUCCCCUUUCUUACUUUCUUUUUCUGGCUCUCUCUCUGGUCUUGUGAAAGCUAGAGACGAGAGCUGCCAGUAUUUCCAUCUCCGAUCGAAUUAAAUGUACUUUGUCUGGUAUAUUUGAAAAUAAGAACACUUUUGGGAGGCCUCCUUCAGCAACUUAAUCCGGAUGGACACUACACGACUUUCAAAAUCCUAACAUCUCUGAGCCUAUCACAUUAAACGACUAUCUUUCCUUUAGUUUUUUGUCUUGCCAACAUAGUGGGGCACACACAAAGUGAUCUGUCACAGACAGGCUGUCACACACUACAAGAUUCUUUAUUUGGUUGUGAGGAUUCUCGAUACCACGCUGUCCCUAGAAACCACAACGAGAGUUUUUCACGAGUCAGACAGUGGCAAAACAAAGAUGGAGCUAGACAGUGAACAGCAGCUGGCCACACUUGUUGUGUGUGCAGGGAUUUGCACGGAGAAACACAAGAAGAAAAGACUGCGAAUUUGGGUGAGGCCAUGGUUGGGGAGACGUGGCCAGUUUGGGUGGUCUGUACUGCAGAGAGAGUUGGAGAGGCAUGAUAGGAUGUGUUUCAGCAAGAUGCUGCGUAUGACCUCUGACAAAUUAGAUUUCCUGCUGGGUAUGGCGGGACCCCUCAUCAGAAAGCAGGACACCAAGAUGAGACGGGCAAUCACUGUGAAACGUUCAAAUGCCUCAGCUUCCAAUACAGGAUUGGGAACACCACUGUGUCCAAUAUUGUUAUGGAGACAUGUGAAGCCCUGCAUCAGGUCAUGA
rnacentral:lncRNA from 8 species